UGACCGCUGGCGGCGUGCCUACUACAUGCACGUCGAGCGAACAGACGAGGAGCUUGCUCCUCUGACGUUAGCGGCGGACGGGUGAGUAACACGUGGAUAACCUACCUAUAAGACUGGGAUAACUUCGGGAAACCGGAGCUAAUACCGGAUAAUAUAUUGAACCGCAUGGUUCAAUAGUGAAAGACGGUUUUGCUGUCACUUAUAGAUGGAUCCGCGCCGCAUUAGCUAGUUGGUAAGGUAACGGCUUACCAAGGCAACGAUGCGUAGCCGACCUGAGAGGGUGAUCGGCCACACUGGAACUGAGACACGGUCCAGACUCCUACGGGAGGCAGCAGUAGGGAAUCUUCCGCAAUGGGCGAAAGCCUGACGGAGCAACGCCGCGUGAGUGAUGAAGGUCUGCGGAUCGUAAAACUCUGUUAUUAGGGAAGAACAAAUGUGUAAGUAACUAUGCACGUCUUGACGGUACCUAAUCAGAAAGCCACGGCUAACUACGUG
rnacentral:rRNA from 1 species